rnacentral:rRNA from 1 species
GAUGAACGCUGGCUACAGGCUUAACACAUGCAAGUCGAGGGGAAACGGCAUUGAGUGCUUGCACUGAAUGGACGUCGACCGGCGCACGGGUGAGUAACGCGUAUCCAACCUUCCCGUUACUGCGGGAUAACCUGCCGAAAGGCAGACUAAUACCGCAUGUUCUUCGAUGACGGCAUCAGAUUCGAAGCAAAGAUCCGUCGGUAACGGAGGGGGAUGCGUCUGAUUAGCUUGUUGGCGGGGCGACGGCCCACCAAGGCGACGAUCAGUAGGGGUUCUGAGAGGAAGGUCCCCCACAUUGGAACUGAGACACGGUCCAAACUCCUACGGGAGGCAGCAGUGAGGAAUAUUGGUCAAUGGGCGGAAGCCUGAACCAGCCAAGUAGCGUGCAGGAUGACGGCCCUACGGGUUGUAAACUGCUUUUAUGCGGGGAUAAAGUGAGGGACGCGUCCCUUUUUGCAGGUACCGCAUGAAUAAGGACCGGCUAAUUCCGUGCCAGCAGCCGCGGUAAUACGGAAGGUCCGGGCGUUAUCCGGAUUUAUUGGGUUUAAAGGGAGCGUAGGCCAGGGAUUAAGUGUGUUGUGAAAUGUAGGCGCCCAACGUCUGACUUGCAGCGCAUACUGGUUCCCUUGAGUACGCGCAACGCCGGCGGAAUUCGUCGUGUAGCGGUGAAAUGCUUAGAUAUGACGAAGAACCCCGAUUGCGAAGGCAGCCGGCGGGAGCGCAACUGACGCUGAAGCUCGAAGGUGCGGGUAUCGAACAGG